rnacentral:rRNA from 1 species
CAAGUCGAACGCGAAAGUCCCCUUCGGGGGAUAAGUAGAGUGGCGCACGGGUGAGUAACACGUAGGUAAUCUACCUUCGGGUGGGGAAUAACCCAGGGAAACUUGGGCUAACACCGCAUAAUGCAGCGGCACCACAUGGUGACAGUUGUUAAAGCGGGGGAUCUUAGGACCUCGCGCCUGAAGAGGAGCCUGCGGCGGAUUAGCUAGUUGGUGAGGUAACGGCUCACCAAGGUGACGAUCCGUAGCCGGCCUGAGAGGGCGGUCGGCCACACUGACACUGACAUACGGGUCAGACUCCUACGGGAGGCAGCAGUCGGGAAUUUUGGGCAAUGGGCGAAAGCCUGACCCAGCAACGCCGCGUGAAGGAUGAAAUCCCUCGGGAUGUAAACUUCGCAAGAAUGGGAAGAAUUAGUAGGGGUCAAUACCCCCUAUGAUGACGGUACCAUUUGUAAGCUCCGGCUAACUCCGUGCCAGCAGCCGCGGUAAUACGGGGGGAGCAAGCGUUGUUCGGAUUUACUGGGCGUAAAGGGCGCGUAGGCGGUCAGCACAAGUCAGUUGUGAAAUCUCCGGGCUUAACUCGGAAAGGUCAACUGAUACUGUGCGACUAGAGUGCGGAAGGGGCAACUGGAAUUCUCGGUGUAGCGGUGAAAUGCGUAGAUAUCGAGAGGAACACCUGCGGCGAAGGCGGGUUGCUGGGCCGACACUGACGCUGAUGCGCGAAAGCCAGGGGAGCGAACGGGAUUAGAUACCCCGGUAGUCCUGGCCUUAAACGAUGGAUGCUUGGUGUCUGGGGUUUUAUAGUCCCCGGGUGCCGCAGCUAACGCGUUAAGCAUCCCGCCUGGGGAGUACGGUCGCAAGACUGAAACUCAAAGAAAUUGACGGGGACCCGCACAAGCGGUGGA